rnacentral:rRNA from 1 species
CACGUAGUUAGCCGUGACUUUCUGGUUGAUUACCGUCAAAUAAAGGCCAGUUGCUACCUCUAUCCUUCUUCACCAACAACAGAGCUUUACGAUCCGAAAACCUUCUUCACUCACGCGACGUUGCUCCAUCAGACUUGCGUCCAUUGUGGAAGAUUCCCUACUGCUGCCUCCCGUAGGAGUUUGGGCCGUGUUUCAGUCCCAAUGUGGCCGAUCAGUCUCUCAACUCGGCUAUGCAUCGUCGCCUUGGUAAGCCGUUACCUUACCAACUAGCUAAUGCACCGCGGGGCCAUCCCUUAGCGACAGCUUACGCCGCCUUUCAAAAGCUGAUCAUGCGAUCUGCUUUAUCAUCCGGUAUUAGCACCUGUUUCCAAAUGGUAUCCCAGACUUAGGGGCAGGUUCCCCACGUGUUACUCACCCAUCCGCCGCUCGCUUUCCCAACGUCAUUACCGAAGUAAAUCUGUUGGUCCCGCUCGCUCGACUUGCAUGUAUUAGGCACGCCGCC